AAUUGGAACAAGCUCCGAGGCCUCUCAUUGGCUCCUGGGAAUUGGAACAAUUGGAACAGAGAAGAAGGAUGUUGUGUGUAAAAGCAGGAAGAGCUUGUUUGGCGUUUGUGCAGAGCCAAAGGAUUUGUUCUCAACAAUUAAUCACUGCCGGCCCCUUUAAUGAGAACCCGGACUAUAUUACUGGAUGAUGGAUGGAGGAAACACAAGUUAUUGAGUGAUCAAUCAAAACACCUGGAGCAGAUAAAACCAUUAACACUCCUGUUGAUGUUGAUGAAGAUACCAAGCAGACACAUCCACACCAUGAAGAGGACAUAUCUGAUGCCUUCAAGAUCACUAAGAUCUUCUGACACCAUCUGUUGGUGAUUCCCAGAGUAAAU